AUUAAACGCUGGCGGCAGGCCUAACACAUGCAAGUCGAGCGAGCGGCGGACGGGUGCGUAAUGUAUGGGGACUGCCCGAUAGAGGGGGAUAACUACUGGAAACGGUAGCUAAUACCGCAUACUAUCGGAUAACCCAUAUUGGAUUAGCUAGUAGGUGAGUUAAUGGCUAACCUAGGCGACUAUCCCUAGCUGGUCUGAGAGGAUGAUCAGCCACACUGGGACUGAGACACGGCCCAGACGCAUACGGAGGCAGGAGGGGGGAAUAUUGCACAAUGGGCGCAAGCCGGAUGCAGCCAGGCCGGGUGUAUGAAGAAGGCCCUAGGGUUGGAAAGUACUUUCAGUCGGGAGGCGUUACCGACAGAAGAAGCACCGGCUAACUCCGUGCCAGCAGCCGCGUAAUAC
rnacentral:rRNA from 1 species